GAAACUUCGGAACAUUCUUUGACUAUCAACAACUUCAGAAGUCGGAGACAGAAUAAAAGCCACGAUGUUGUAUAUAAGUAAAAUAGAAAUUCAUUGCAUCGUAUCAGAAGGAAAAGACUACCAAAAACAUAUGAUAGAUAUGCAUGUAUGUACGAAUGAAAGCUUCUUUAGUCCAGUGGUUUGACUAAAGAUUCAUUAAUAUUUCUACACCAGGAGGUCGGCAUGGCGUAAGGAGUACCGUCAGACAUGGAUUUCAUAGGACGGUUGAAGAUGAUCCAGUCAUACGUGAAUCCACAUAAGGAAUGUAGAAUUGUUAGAUGUAGAAUCGUCUUGUAAUAUUUUUCAUAGUUUAUAAUAGCAUAAUUAACCAUUGACAAAAAAAAAAAAUAUAUAUCUAUACGAACGAGAUCUUUUUUGUUUAUAAAAAAUGAAAAUAUAUGAACGUGUAGGUGUGUAACAAAAGGUAUUAUCAUAGCACUUAGAGAUUUUGUUUUUAUUUGUUAAGCUGAAACGAAACAACUCAUAUUAAUAUAGUAUUUAAUACACGUAGUAAUGGCCCCUCAUUAACUUUAAUGCCCGACGCGGACGCGGUAUCACACUUGUGGAAAAGACUAUUCUCGUGGAAGUUACUUAACAUUGACGAGUCCGGUCAUGCCAUUUGCUUCCGCCGGGCUAAGGAUGGCGGGAGUGGAUAUCCGGAAUUUUAAGGAUAUCCAUGAUGCGUUUCUCUACACAAAUAGUUAAUUUUUUAUUUGAUUUAAUCCGCAAUUUUUUGGGUAAUCGGUAUUCUGAAUAUUCGAAAAAAUCAAUAUUUUUACCGAAUAUCUGAUUCGUCCGUAAAAAAUAAUAAAAAAAUAAAACAAUAAUAUUACAUUACAAUUUAUUUUAAAAAGCUAAAUACUUUUAAUAACUAAAUCAUUAAUUUAGUGAAUAAAAAUAUUAUAAACUUAUAUAGAGAUAUAAAAACUAUAUUAUUUAUAUAUAUAAUGUUAUAUACAUGUAUAUAACGGAUCAUAUCGGAUAUCCGUUUAUAAAAGUAUUAGUAUUUGUGAUUUGUUUCGUUUUUGACGGAUAUUGAAUUUUAGUAUUUGGUUUGAUUCGUAUAGCUAUGGAUAGGAUAUCUAAUUUUUUAGGUCAAAUCGAAACGGAAAAUAGAUCGAUUCAAAAUUUACAUAUAUUUUGUCCACCCUUAACCGGAGCCAGGAGUAGAGACAUUCAUAUACGAGUGGUGUAAGCUGACGCAUUAAAAUUACAAGACUUCAUAUGGUCAAAAAACUUAUUUAACAAGUCUUCUAUGAAAACGAAAUUGCAAUCUUGACCCGAUUUGUUUCAUUUUUCUUUGCUUCUGCGAAACAGGCCAACCGGUCAACUCUAGCAUAGCCAAACAAUCCGAUUUCUUCGUCGAAGUGGAUGGGCCUGCUUCUUCUUAGUCAAAAUUGUAGACUUUUUGUUCCCUCUUGAUUCUCACAAUUUUUAAAUCAAACUAAGACUAUAUAACUAUAUCGCAAUAGUUUAUUGUGUUUAGUAAGCGAUAUAAGAUAUCGUUUUACGUCAAAUAUAAACUAUGCUUUAAGCAUACCAACUAUAUAUUCGAUCUAAUAUUCAUAUAUAAUAAAGCAGUUUUCUCCCUUUUUGCAGAUUUUUUCUUUGAAAAUAUAAUGUUAGUUAACAUGUUCUUGAAAAUGGAGUGUAUAGAACGGUAACGAUUUUUUAAAGGCAUUUGAAAGGUCUGAUGAUUCGAGAAAAAAAAGAAAGGUCUGAGUCGUUUAAAACAAAAAUCGUUCAUGAUCUAGUAGGAGUUCAUGAGAAGCAAAGUUCCGGACCCUAACUAGAGUCUAGUCAUGGAAGGUUCCAGUAAUGAUAAGCUGUCUCUUAUUCCUCAUUCAAUUUCAUUUUCAAUAGUUUAUUCUUCUUGGAUUAGGACGGUCCAAAAAAAUAUCAACAGUCGAUAUCACUUAUUUUUUAGUCGAUAUCACUUGAGCAUGCCCUAACUAAAAAUUAACCACCCACGCAAACUUUUGAAUCUCACCUGAAAAUAAGUAAACUCUUUUGCAAUCUUAUUACUGAAGAUGGUGGGAAUCGGAUGCUUUUUUUACGAUUGUAUAUUGUUUGGUAAUGAUAGUUCAGGCUGUUAUUAACAUCGCCACUGCUUUAGGAUCAAACAACUAGUAAAAACAGAAUAAUAGCUUCAGAUAGAUUCUCGAGGUCAGAUGGAAAAAUCACCCAAUGAUGUUAUAAGGCUUUGCCACGUAAGCAUUGGUUGUAUAUUAAAUGGAAAAAAAAAGAAGAAGAAGAAUCGAUCUUCUUUGCAUUCUAUUUUCCACCGUUAUCUCUAUCAUCAAUGCUACCAUCGUCGUCUUCUCUAACGUUUAAGGAAUCGUAAUCGCUAACGAAAUCCUCUGCGGUUUGUGGGAGAUUUCGCUAAACAAUUGGAUCUCGACAAAACUUUGAGUACCUCAAAACAGAUCGGAGAUCUAUUCAGCCCGGAAAAGUGGAGAGAAAAGGAAGAAGGAGAAGAUGAUCGGAGGCCACAUGUUCGGUUAGAUCGGAUAUUUGGUGACAAUUGUGGAAAGGAAAAGGCCAUCGACGCAUCUAGAUCUAUACAAAGCAUUGUUUGAAAGGAGCUUAGAUGUUAACGUGUCUGUGGAGGUUCCUUUGAUUCCAUUGGUAAAUCUGGUUGGACGGAUGGUUCUCAACGACAUAACUCAGUUCAUGCAGCAAAAAAACGAGCAUCGAGCAUCAAAGAUCAAACACAUACCGUCAGCUGAAUCAUACUUCAGUCAGCCAUUACAGCUGCUCCUGAUGAUCGUUGCUUUCUAAAACUGUAGAUGCACAAUGACGUAACGAGGAAGGUAAAAUGAGAAAAGCCCAAAACGGAGAAGAGAGAGAGAGAGAGCCAUAAGUACUUUCGGUGUAGGUGGCAUAAUGUCAUAGCAAGUCAAAGACUGUGGAUAUAUAUGGCCCGGAGCAGCAAAGUGUUUACUUAGUCUACUCAUUUUGUCUACCAAAGAGAAAUCAGAGGAUGCAUGGAUAUUAUUUUCAAAUAAGAUCUCUACAUUCCACUAGAAAACCAUUCCCAUGUUGAAAGAUUCCGGCGGUCCCGUCCACCACUUGGUGUAAUUCAUAUAAGCUGGAAGCCAGACCUCAUGUGUUUCUCAUUCUACACUACCAGAAAACAGCAACCUAAUUCCUUUAUGUUCCACAUCUCUGAGAGGUACUAAAAAGAUUCCUAUUAUAUUGACACUAACUUCAGUAUUGUAGCCAUCUACUUUAAGCUUUUUUCCCCUUUCCUUUAAGAGUCAUGUGUUUGUUUACUUUUUUAGCUAAUACAUAUAUGUACAUAUAUUUGCCUAAUACGCUUUCUCUUGAAACUCUUGAAUUUUUCUACGUUACUUGUAUCUCAACUCCGCACCAACAACAAAGUUUUACUUUGACACUGAUCUCCUUGAAAUCAGUGAGUUCACAAAGAGGUAAGAACUGAUACGGUUUUAAUGAAACACUGACUUUGUUGCCUAUCUAAUGCUACCAUACGUACUGUUUCCAACUUGGGAGGUACAUCAUCUGAUGUUUUCCAAUGCGUUUGAUACCAUGGAAGGGCUUAAAAAAAUUCGUCUCAAUUGCAGAUCUAUGGGAAGGUGCACUCCAGUUGAGUGUUUCUUCUGUGAUCUCUGUCAUGGGCAUUCUAAAAAGGCUACUAAUCGUUUCACGGAUAUGGGGUGUGAACUUGCUAGCAAGGUGUUGAAAAACCAAAAUCUUAUGCAGCUCCACCCGGUGAUCCUGGAAUUGGUCUUGAACAGCUUGAGCUAAUGUGCAAAGUUUAGAACAUUGUUUCUCUUCAGUUAUAUGGAGACGAGCAAGCGAGUGCUAUCAAAGUAAAAAACUUUCAACAUAGAAGGCAAUUCAUAUCUCAGUAAAAAAAAGAAGUAUGGUCAGAAGAAAAAAGUGAUGAUGAGAUAAGUAAAUGGAUCUGACCUUCCUACCAUGUCUUUUAAGGUCUCGGCUGUAUCUUUUCUGCCAUAAGUAUAUCAACAAAAACCAAUGGCCGUCGUCUAGCUCCCAGGAACAACAAAGGAGUUAGUUUCCAGCAAUGUGGCCGUUACACAUGUCGUUUUUCUCCAUCUUUUGGACUUGACAUAGCUUAAGAGAGAAAGAAAAUUUUCAUGAAUUAUUCCUAUGGUUUUCCUAUUUUUGUUUUAUGCUGCCUUAGUAUCUCAGUUAAUUUUUUAAAAAUAAAAAGUAAGUCUAUAAAUAUAAAGGAUAUACUCCUUUUAAUA